rnacentral:rRNA from 1 species
AUUGAACGCUGGCGGCAGGCCUAACACAUGCAAGUCGAGCGAGUGGCGGACGGGUGUGUAAUGUCUGGGAAUCUGCCUGAUGGAGGGGGAUAACUACUGGAAACUGUAGCUAAUACCGCAUACCAUCGGAUGUGCCCAGAUGGGAUUAGCUAGUAGGUGGGGUAAAGGCUCACCUAGGCGACGAUCCCUAGCUGGUCUGAGAGGAUGACCAGCAACACUGGAACUGAGAAAGGGGCCAGACUCCUACGGGAGGAAGAAGUGGGGAAUAGUGGACAAUGGGCGAAAGGCUGAUGCAGCCAUGCCGCGUGUAUGAAGAAGGACUUCGGGUUGUAAAGUACUUUCAGCGGGGAGGCGUUACCCGCAGAAGAAGCACCGGCUAACUCCGUGCCAGCCGCCGCGGUAAUAC